rnacentral:lncRNA from 1 species
AUCAAUCAAUGGCCUCAGAAAUUUAUACGAGAGCAUUGAUGAUUUGCUUCUCUUGCCUCACAUUCAACAGAUUGUUUCUGAGGAAUGUGUUGAUGGUUACAUCAACCUAUUGGAUUCUUGCAGCUCAGUUAAGGAUCUCAUCUCACUUUCCAAGCAAAAUUUAAGAGAGCUUUUGUCUGCUCUAAGGAGAAAGGAUGUUCGAGGCAUCAAUGGCUACCUUGCUUCCAGAAAAAGGUUAAAGAAAAUGAUCCAAAAGUGUUUAAAGAAUAUGAGACGUAGCAGCGCCUCAGCCUCUUCUGAGAAUGCUUCCAUGUUGACAGAUGCAGAGUCCGUUGCCAUUUCCUUGCUCGAGUCUCUUGGUCGUUGGUGUCAAAGCUGAUGCAGUCCAAGAAAGCAUCAGACGACGAGAAUGAGUUCAACAAUAAAAAGCAAUGGCUCUUCACCACAGCCGCUCUCUUAGCUUCCCAUCUGCAUCACAUCCUGCUGUUUCCCACUUCGAUGAAAACUUAUCAAGAUUGAGAUCUUCGGAGGCUGCUUGCUCCUCCCUCUCAUCAAUCAACGCCACAAUCAGAAGCUCCAACUGUGACAGCCCAUGUUUAAGGGAUUUCGACUUCAACGGUGAAUCUGCCAGUUUUUGUUUCCAGUUCAUUUUAAUAAGCCUACAAAUUGAACAGAAAAGAGUUAUAGCAUAUAUGAAAAUAUUAAGAUUAAAAAUCCAUAUCUAUUUUAUGCAUGAAUUUUCAGCCAAAGGGAAAUACAGGUUGGCUGCAAGAAUAUGAAGCCUCUACCUCAGACAAAAUGAAUUUAAAAAAAUAGAUUCUGCAGAUCUGUGCUUCUGUUUGAGGGUAUAUAAUAUGGACACUGCACGAAGAGCUGACCUUUAUUAAAAGAAAUGCACGUUGAAUCUCGCCUCGUUUCUCAUUCAUCACAAGCUCUCAUGGAGCUGCCAACUGUGUAAACUCUGUGCUGCAUAGAUAAUGAUGGAGCUUUGAUUGCUUAUUUUCAGACAAAUUAAUACAAUAUUCUCAUCAUAUGUUUCUUCACCAAGAGCAAACCCUGAAAUCUGCUCGUGCAUUACAUUAAAAUAAUUUCAAGAUAACUAUAUUUUAUGGCUGUUAUUUAUGGUCUGUCAUUGGGAAAAUAAUGCAGAUUCCUUAUGUCCUUUUCCUCACUAUAUAAUAAGCACAUAUAUUUUUGUUAGAUGCAUCACAAUUUUCUUGAUUCAAUUCCAAUUCUAAGCCUUACUUUCACCAAGUAAAAAAACAAAACAAUGGCUCCCUCACCUUUGAGAUCCAAGUCACUUAACCAUGGCCGCUCUCUUAGCUUCCCAUCUUCAUCACAUCCUGCUCCUACUCACUUCGAUGAGAACUUAUCCAGAUUGAGAUCUUCCGAGGCUGCU